rnacentral:rRNA from 1 species
UGUUAAACUGGAGGAAGGUGGGGAUGUCGUCAAGGCAGCAGGGCCCUUACGACCAGGGCUACUCACGUUCUACAAUGGCGCAUACAAAGAGAAGCGACCUCGCGAGAGCUAGCGGACCUCAUAAAGUGCGUCGUAGUCCGGAUUGGAGUCUGCAACUCGACUCCAUGAAGUCGGAAUCGCUAGUAGUCGUGGAUCAGAAUGCCACGGUGAAUACGUUCCCGGGCCUUGUACACAC